CCUACGGGAGGCAGCGGUAGGGAAUCUUGCGCAAUGGGCGAAAGCCUGACGCAGCCAUGCCGCGUGAAUGAUGAAGGUCUUAGGAUUGUAAAAUUCUUUCACCGGGGACGAUAAUGACGGUACCCGGAGAAGAAGCCCCGGCUAACUUCGUGCCAGCAGCCGCGGUAAUACGAAGGGGGCUAGCGUUGCUCGGAAUUACUGGGCGUAAAGGGAGCGUAGGCGGAUAGUUUAGUCAGAGGUGAAAGCCCAGGGCUCAACCUUGGAAUUGCCUUUGAUACUGGCUAUCUUGAGUAUGGAAGAGGUAUGUGGAACUCCGAGUGUAGAGGUGAAAUUCGUAGAUAUUCGGAAGAACACCAGUGGCGAAGGCGACAUACUGGUCCAUUACUGACGCUGAGGCUCGAAAGCGUGGGGAGCAAACAGGAUUAGAUACCCCGGUAGUCCACGCCGUAAACGAUGAGUGCUAGUUGUCGGCAUGCAUGCAUGUCGGUGACGCAGCUAACGCAUUAAGCACUCCGCCUGGGGGAGGUACGGUCGCAGAUAAACUACAANAGAUAGAGCGNGAGACGUGCCGACGGACGACGACGAGGGAGGAGG
rnacentral:rRNA from 1 species